GAUGAACGCUGGCGGCGUGCCUAAUACAUGCAAGUCGAGCGAACAGACGAGGAGCUUGCUCCUCUGACGUUAGCGGCGGACGGGUGAGUAACACGUGGAUAACCUACCUAUAAGACUGGGAUAACUUCGGGAAACCGGAGCUAAUACCGGAUAAUAUAUUGAACCGCAUGGUUCAAUAGUGAAAGACGGUUUUGCUGUCACUUAUAGAUGGAUCCGCGCCGCAUUAGCUAGUUGGUAAGGUAACGGCUUACCAAGGCAACGAUGCGUAGCCGACCUGAGAGGGUGAGCGGCCACACUGGAACGGAGACACGGUCCAGACUCCUACGGGAGGCAGCAGUAGGGAAUCUUCCGCAAUGGGCGAAAGCCUGACGGAGCAACGCCGCGUGAUUGAUGAAGGUCUUCGGAUCGUAAAACUCUGUUAUUAGGGAAGAACAAAUGUGUAAGUAACUAUGCACGUCUUGACGGUACCUAAUCAGAAAGCCACGGCUAACUACGUG
rnacentral:rRNA from 1 species